CAGAAGAGGCAGAGUCUCUUUUUCUUGACAGAGUUUUUAACGCUGCAGCCCGCGCAAGACAGGAGCUAUCAGCAGAGAUGGUUUACUGUCUGCAACAAGACGACUAUUUCGCCGUCAAGUACAACGGAUUCAGGAUUGAACAGGAUUUUGUACAGCUGUUUCGAGAGGAAACAUCAGCCAAGUUUUUGGAGAAGUUGCCAACUACCUUCAAGCAGAAGAUCAUCCAGCUAAGCAAGACCCUCACCAGUCAGGGAGAUGAACUCCAGGCAGGAGCUGAUCGAGAAGGCAGAAUCUACACUUGAUAAGGGAGCUGACACAGAUGCUGACGGCAGGAACCAGUAUCCAGCAGCACCUUGAUGCGAUUGACCAGAGCCAACAACCUUACCUUCUUGUGGGACCAGGAAGAGCAGCAUCCAUGCCUACUACAUCAUCCUGGACAAGUGAGCCUUGCCAUGCAAGUCACUGAGUGCUGUUGGUGCCUUCGAAGAACUGUUCAAGGCGCACUUUGUUUUUGGUGCUGCUUACAGUACAAGUCUGCGCAGCAUGUACACCUUUGUACAGACAACAGUGUACAAUAUAGACAUUGGGAAGGUUAAGGAGACCCCAAGAGUUGCUGAGCUUAGAGCUCGACUCCUGCACUAAUGCCUCAAGUUUUAUGUUUUGUUUGCCAUGCUCCUCAUGGGAGUACCAACUUGCUUGUGAGGCAUCUCAAGUCGGUGCAUGGAAUGUGCCCUGGUAGAACUUUAAGACUAAAAUGUAGUCAGGCAGGUUGUUAUGGUGUAUUUGCUACCUUUUCAGGCUUUAGGAAGCAUUUGAACAGGGCACAUGCAGGAGAUUGUCCAGUUAAUGCAAACUUGUGUGCUGAGAAAACGACAAUGAGCCAAGUAAUGUUGAGCCAAGUAAUGUUGAGCCAAGUAAUGUUGAUUUACCUUCUACUUCUAAUUAUAACCAUGUUGUACCAGUAACUAUCAAGAAUAUACGCGAAAUGUGUGCGUCUGCUAUUGCGCAACUGCAUGCUGCAGGUGUAGGUCAGAGAACUGUUAAUAUGUUUGUGUCAUCCAUGGAAGAAGUUCUUCAAGAGAUACAGGGUCGAGCUAAAGCCAUAGCUACAUGUACAUAUUCAAAGACCCAGAAACUGUAAAAAAAAUCAAACAAUCUUUUCAGGAUAUUGAAAAUCUGUUCACAUCUUUGAACUCAGAAUCUAAACGAAGUGCUUAUUAUAGUCAAAAAUGGGAAACAGUUGAACCAGUCAAGAAAGUCCUUGGUGUGAGAUUUGACAGUAGAAAAAACAAAACAACUGGAACUUAUGAUCAAAUAGCGAUAACUGAUACCCUUUCUUAUGUUCCAAUUCUCGAGACAUUGCAGUCAGUUUUGAAGAACCCAAACACGUGACAUGUUUUAGUCAGAGCACAAUCUUAAAGAUGGAGUUUACUAUGAUUUGAAGAUGGGCUACAUAUGAAAAGUCAUCCUAUCUUUUCUAAAGAGAAAAAUGCAUUACAAAUCCCACUUUUUUAUGAUGAUUUUAAGGCAUUUUAAUCCAUUGGGAUCAAAAAAGGGUACUCAUAAAUUGGGGGGUAUAUAUUUUACUUUGAGAAAUUUGUUUGGUAGUUUGGCAGACCGAGGUGCGCUGAGAUGGGUGUGGCGGCGCAGCAGGGGGAGGUGUCGACAGAUCCAGCUUGGCGCAGUGACAGUUUCGUGCCAAAAGGCUUUGCCGAAGGUGUGCUAAAAGCUCGCCAGCUGAAACCAGGUCUACUGUCAGCGCAGGCGGAGUGCAGCCGGUGUAAGCCUAAGUUUGGCUGACCGGCGGACAGUGCGCACACGUCA